rnacentral:rRNA from 1 species
UACGUAGGGUGCAAGCGUUGUCCGGAAUUAUUGGGCGUAAAGAGCUCGUAGGCGGUUUGUUGCGUCGGCUGUGAAAUCCCGAGGCUCAACCUCGGGUCUGCAGUCGAUACGAGCAAACUAGAGUGUUGCAGGGGAGACUGGAAUUCCUGGUGUAGCGGUGAAAUGCGCAGAUAUCAGGAGGAACACCGGUGGCGAAGGCGGGGUCUCUGGGCAACAACUGACGCUGGAGGAGCGAAAGCAUGGGGAGCGAACGGG